GUUUAUCAAAAACAUGUCUUUUUGAAUUUAAUUUAAAGUCUAACCUGCCCACUGAAUAGUUUAAAUGGCCGCAGUAUUUUAACUGUGCAAAGGUAGCAUAAUCAUUAGUCUUUUAAUUGAAGGCUGGAAUGAAUGGUUGGAUGAAAUAUUAACUGUUUCAUAAAAAUUUAUAAUAGAAUUUUAUUUUUUAGUGAAAAAGCUAAAAUUUAAUUAGAAGACGAGAAGACCCUAUAAAUCUUUAUAUUUUAUUGGGGUGAUAUUAAAAUUUAAUAAACUUUUAAUUUAUUAUUUACAUAAAUUAAUGAAAUUUUGAUCCACUAUUAGUGAUUAAUAUUUUAAGAUACUUUAGGGAUAACAGCGUAAUUUUUUUAGAGAGUUCAUAUUGACAAAAAAGAUUGCGACCUCGAUGU
rnacentral:rRNA from 1 species